AUUGAACGCUGGCGGCAGGCUUAACACAUGCAAGUCGAGCGGAGCGAGGGUGCUUGCACCUUAGCUUAGCGGCGGACGGGUGAGUAAUGCUUAGGAAUCUGCCUAUUAGUGGGGGACGACAUUCCGAAAGGGAUGCUAAUACCGCAUACGCGCUACGGGGGAAAGCAGGGGAUCUUCGGACCUUGCGCUAAUAGAUGAGCCUAAGUCGGAUUAGCUAGUUGGUGGGGUAAAGGCCUACCAAGGCGACGAUCUGUAGCGGGUCUGAGAGGAUGAGCCGCCACACUGGGACUGGGACACGGCCCAGACUCCUACGGGAGGCAGCAGUGGGGAAUAUUGGACAAUGGGCGGAAGCCGGAUCCAGCCAUGCGGCGUGUGUGAAGAAGGCCUUUUGGUUGUAAAGCACUUUAAGCGAGGAGGAGGCUACUAGUAUUAAUACUACUGGAUAGUGGACGUUACUCGCAGAAUAAGCACCGACUAACUCUGUGCCAGCAGCCGCAGUAA
rnacentral:rRNA from 1 species